GGCUCAUUACACCAGCCUUAAUUUACUUGACCUUGACACCCUACUUGGAUAACUGUGGUAAUUCUAGAGCUAAUACAUGCACCAAAGCUCCAAUCUCCCCAGAGCGGAGCGCAUUUGUUCGCCACAAAACCAAGCGCCUCAGGGCGUUCAGUGUUGACUCAGAACAACUAAGCUGAUCGCACGGUCUUGCACCGGCGACGUGUCUUUCAAGUGUCUGCCUUAUCAACUUUCGGUGGUAGUGUAUCUGACUACCAUGGUGAUGACGGGUAACGGAGGAUAAGGGUUCGACUCCGGAGAAGGGGCCUGAGAAAUGGCCACUACGUCUAAGGGUGGCAGCAGGCGCGCAAAUUACCCACUCUCGACGCGAGGAGGUAGUGACGAGAAAUAACGAGACCGUUCUCAUCUGAGGCCGGUCAUCGGAAUGGGUACAAUUUAAACCCUUUAACGAGUAUCUAUGAGAGGGCAAGUCUGGUGCCAGCAGCCGCGGUAAUUCCAGCUCUCAAAAUGCAUAGAAUUAUUGCUGCGGUUAAAAAGCUCGUAGUUGGAUCUGUGCUGAGCGACCGGUCUGCCCACUGGGCACGCACUGGCUCGCCCGGCUUUCCCUGCCGGUCUCUCUCUGACGUUGGUCUUAACCGGCUGGCGUCAGUGGGCUGGCGAGUUUACUUUGAACAAAUCAGAGUGCUUCAAACAGGCGUCUCGCCUGAAUGUUCGUGCAUGGAAUAAUAGAAGAGGAUCACGGUCCGAUUUUAUUGGUUUUGCUGACCGAGAUAAUGGUUAACAGAGACAAACGGGGCCAUUCGUAUUGCUACGUGAGAGGUGAAAUUCUUGGACCGUAGCAAGACGGACUACAGCGAAAGCAUUUGGCAAGAAUGUCUUCAUUAAUCAAGAACGAAAGUCAGAGGUUCGAAGGCGAUCAGAUACCGCCCUAGUUCUGACCGUAAACGAUGCCAACUAGCGAUCCGCCGGCGGAUUCAUUCGCCCUGGUGGGGAGCUUCCCGGAAACGAAAGUCUUCCGGUUCCGGGGGAAGUAUGGUUGCAAAGCUGAAACUUAAAGGAAUUGACGGAAGGGCACCACCAGGAGUGGAGCCUGCGGCUUAAUUUGACUCAACACGGGGAAACUCACCCGGCCCGGACACCGUAAGGAUUGACAGAUUGAUAGCUUUUUCAUGAUUCGGUGGAUGGUGGUGCAUGGCCGUUCUUAGUUCGUGGAGCGAUUUGUCUGGUUUAUUCCGAUAACGAGCGAGACUCUGGCCUACUAAAUAGUUGGCACAUUGCCACUGUGUGCACAACUUCUUAGAGGGAUUUUCGGUGUUCAGCCGCACGAAAUUGAGCAAUAACAGGUCUGUGAUGCCCUUAGAUGUCCGGGGCUGCACGCGCGCUACACUGGCAAAAUCAGCGUGCUUGUCCUCCCCCGAAAGGGGUUGGUAAACCGAUGAAAAUUUGCCGUGAUUGGGAUCGGACAUUGCAAUUAUUGUCCGUGAACGAGGAAUCCCUUGUAAGGGCGAGUCAUCAACUCGUCCUGAAUACGUCCCUGCCCUUUGUACACACCGCCCGUCGCUGCCCGGGACUGAGCCAUUUCGAGAAAACCGGGGAUUGUUGGCCUGACGGCUCUCGGGUCGUCUAGCCGAUGAGAACCGGCUUAAUCGCACUGGUUUGAACCGGGCAAAAGUCGUAACAAGGUAGCUGUAGGUGAACCUGCAGAUGGAUCA
rnacentral:rRNA from 1 species